GACGAACGCUGGCGGCGUGCCUAAUACAUGCAAGUAGAACGCACAGUUUAUACCGUAGCUUGCUACACUAUAGACUGUGAGUUGCGAACGGGUGAGUAACGCGUAGGUAACCUGCCUGGUAGCGGGGGAUAACUAUUGGAAACGAUAGCUAAUACCGCAUAAUAUUGAUUAUUGCAUGAUAAUUGAUUGAAAGAUGCUAUUGCAUCACUACCAGAUGGACCUGCGUUGUAUUAGCUAGUAGGUGAGGUAACGGCUCACCUAGGCGACGAUACAUAGCCGACCUGAGAGGGUGAUCGGCCACACUGGGACUGAGACACGGCCCAGACUCCUACGGGAGGCAGCAGUAGGGAAUCUUCGGCAAUGGACGAAAGUCUGACCGAGCAACGCCGCGUGAGUGAAGAAGGUUUUCGGAUCGUAAAGCUCUGUUGUAAGAGAAGAACGGGUGUGAGAGUGGAAAGUUCACACUGCGACGGUAUCUUACCAGAAAGGGACGGCUAACUACGUG
rnacentral:rRNA from 1 species